CCCUUAGAUGUCCGGGGCUGCACGCGCGCUACACUGUAGAAAGCAGCGUGCUUUAAAACCUUUCCUGAAAAGGAUGGGUAACCCCAGCAAAAUUCUACGUGCUUGGGAUAGAGAUUUGCAAUUUUCUCUCUUGAACGAGGAAUUCCCAGUAAGUGCGAGUCAUCAGCUCGCGUUGAUUACGUCCCUGCCCUUUGUACACACCGCCCGUCGCUACUACCGAUUGGGAAAAUUUUAGAGAGUCCUGGACUGAUGAUUGUUCGGCUUCACGGCCUUACUUUCGUCGGGAAAGAGUUCGAUAAUAUUUUUCUAGAGGAAGUAAAAGUCGUAACA
rnacentral:rRNA from 1 species